rnacentral:rRNA from 1 species
GUGGGGAAUAUUGGACAAUGGGCGAAAGCCUGAUCCAGCAAUGCCGCGUGAGUGAUGAAGGCCUUAGGGUUGUAAAGCUCUUUUACCAGGGAUGAUAAUGACAGUACCUGGAGAAUAAGCUCCGGCUAACUCCGUGCCAGCAGCCGCGGUAAUACGGAGGGAGCUAGCGUUGUUCGGAAUUACUGGGCGUAAAGCGCACGUAGGCGGCUACUCAAGUCAGAGGUGAAAGCCCGGGGCUCAACCCCGGAACUGCCUUUGAAACUAGGUAGCUAGAAUCUUGGAGAGGUCAGUGGAAUUCCGAGUGUAGAGGUGAAAUUCGUAGAUAUUCGGAAGAACACCAGUGGCGAAGGCGACUGACUGGACAAGUAUUGACGCUGAGGUGCGAAAGCGUGGGGAGCCAACAGGAUUAGAAACCCCGGUAGUCC